rnacentral:piRNA from 1 species
UCUCGAACCCCGAAACAAGGC